GACGAAUAUGUAAAUAAAGAAGGGCACGACCCAGCAACUCUACACUACUCUGCGGAAGAAAAAUUACAUCAGUGCCCUUUGCAACAAUGGGACAAAAUAUUUGAAAGAAAAUAGCGGAUGUACAUGAUUUACUAGCCGUGUUUUUCCUACGUGAGGGCUCUCUCUGAACCUGUCUGGCUCGGGCACCGAACCCCAGGGACUGAAGAGAUUCGGCAAGGAAGCGUUGAGUGGGAGAUACGCACAGCAUUAUCAGAAGCGUGGCAUCCCCUCCUGUGGAUAGGAAAAGACAUAAGGAUGGUCAGAUGAAGCCCAACAUUGCAUCCUCUUACCAACACACUCGCUCCCAGCCAGGUCCACCAACUGCAGCUUGGUUUUGAUGGGGGGCUGUGUGAUGC